AGGCCCCCGAAACCAGACGAGCUACCUAAGAACAGCUAAAAGAGCACACCCGUCUAUGUAGCAAAAUAGUGGGAAGAUUUAUAGGUAGAGGCGACAAACCUAUCGAGCCUGGUGAUAGCUGGUUGUCCAAGAUAGAAUCUUAGUUCAACUUUAAAUUUACCUACAGAACCUUCUAAAUCCCCUUGUAAAUUUAACUGUUAGUCCAAAGAGGAACAGCUCUUUGGACACUAGGAAAAAACCUUGUAAAGAGAGAAAAAAAACCAAAAAAACAAAAAAAC
rnacentral:lncRNA from 1 species